rnacentral:sRNA from 1 species
UUGAGUGACCUGGAGACUGAAGUCUCUCCAAAAGCAAGUUCAUCAUAGGUGGCAGCAGUGUGAGCUUCUCUAGUAUGAUCUGCCUUCCUUCAAUGCUGAUUGGUGGGGCGACCUAUGAGAGGGACAGAAUUUAAUGCAUGCUCCAUGCCCAUUCAGUCCUUGGCCUCU